UGUGUACAAGGUGGCCGAGUAUGCCU
rnacentral:piRNA from 1 species